rnacentral:lncRNA from 1 species
GAAAGGUACAAAUCAAUUUAAACCUUUAACGAUGAUACAAACCUACUUGCUCAAUUCAUUACAAUAUUUGUCCUUUCAGAGAAAGAUUAAAAGAAGCAGGUAUGAUUCCACAGGAAGGAAAAAAAUCAACAUAUGUGCUGGUUUAACUGUAGGAAUUCCAAAAUACACUAAGCAAACAGCGAAAUGUAAGUCUUAUAAUAUGAAGACCUUAUAUUAUUAAAUGAAGAGCACUUUCUAUUCACCUGAAUAUAUUUUUAGAGAAAAUUUCAGUGCUUAGAAAAUUGCUACAACUCCCUGUACCCUGCACCCCCCCCACCCUGCCACACACACACACACACAAUCCAAAUGACAAGUUCACAUGUUGAUUUUUAAAAUUUAUUUAUAUAAUUAUAACAUUUCACAUGAAAGUUUUAAGUUGACUAUGUGGCCAAAGACUUGAGUUCUUUUUCUCAGAAUAAGUGUACUUAAGGAUGCUUUUCUGUCCACUUCCCACAGUGGUACUUCCAUCCACCUCAGAGGAGGGCUGAGGAACAUCAUACAUGCCAGUAGUUACCACUGCUGGAACAGACCUCACAGGGCACAAACACUGCACUUGUAACUAUCCUUCAGCAUAUCCACAGUGAGACUGGGAGCAGGUAAAGAGGACUCAGUAUUGCAAAGCAGGUAAGUUGGGGAUGAUGAUGCCCACUACCAAUGGAGAACCACCUUACAAAAAGGAAUCACUAACAUACAUCAAAAUUUCAGAGUCACACACAGGAACUACGUGAGAGGUACAUGGGCUAUAGACGAAGCUGACUGCUGAUUAAGAGAAACCUUAUUUAAAUCACAAUCAGAAGUGUAGAAACACAUUGAUGACGUUAUGACAUAUUAAUGGGAGUAUUCAAAUUACACAAAUUGUAUAUAAAAAGCCUUUUUGGAACAUACUGUAUGCAGAUCAGCUGUGUUAUCUUCAAAGGCCACUGUCUUUUUACAGUAUCACUAUAUUUUUGUAGUACCCCUUGCCCAUUACAAUGACACAUAGCCAGCAAUUAUCUCCAGAGUUUCAGAAAGGAAACCUUCCCUAAGUAACAUUUUCACACAUCAUUGUUAUCUCCCCACAAAAAGAACACUUCCAUUCACAUAGUAAAAAAAGGGAGUUUUGACUGAAGAGGCUUACACGUGGAAUAGUCAGAUAUCCUUGUUUAGCUUGAUUGUCCUUAUUUAUUUUUGCUUCCCAAUAUAAUUAACAGUGCAGUGCCCCCCCCUACUAAAAAUGUGUAACAAUAAAUUAUAUGCAACUUUAUCUAAAUGACUAUUAUCUGUUAUGAAACAUUCUUUGACUGUGAGGCUGGCAAAAUUAGUGCCAUGAUUUUCUCAUAAGACAUGAGUGGUCAAACCAUUUAAAAAUUGCCCCACCUUUUCCCUGGUAGAGAAGUUAUGAAUUUGGUAAUGUAAACAAAACAAGUGGUCACAAUAAUGAAAGAAUAGCUCUGUUCCUCUAUUUUUUUUUUCUUUCUCCACAUUCUUUUGAAUAUGCUAUUCAAACAGCUUGUUGCCAGGACCGUUUUGGG